rnacentral:rRNA from 1 species
UGGACAACAGGUAGAGAUUCCUGUACCAGUGCUAAUUGUUUAACCGAUGGGGUGACACAGAAGGAUAGGGAAUCGCACGAAUGGAAAUGUGCGUCCAAGCAGUGAGUGUGAGAAGUAGGCAAAUCCGCUUCUCGCGAAGCAUGAGCUGUGAUGGGGAAGGAAAUUAAGUACGGAAGUUCCUGAUUUCACGCUGUCAAGAAAAGCCUCUAGGAAGAGUAGUACUGCCCGUACCGCAAACCGACACAGGUAGAUGAGGAGAGAAUCCUAAGGUGAGCGAGAGAACUCUCGUUAAGGAACUCGGCAAAAUGACCCCGUAACUUCGGGAGAAGGGGUGCUCUAUUAGGGUGCAAGCCCGAGAGAGCCGCAGUGAAUAGGCCCAGGCGACUGUUUAGCAAAAACACAGGUCUCUGCAAAACCGUAAGGUGACGUAUAGGGGCUGACGCCUGCCCGGUGCUGGAAGGUUAAGAGGAGUGCUUAGCUUCGGCGAAGGUACGAAUUGAAGCCCCAGUAAACGGCGGCCGUAACUAUAACGGUCCUAAGGUAGCGAAAUUCCUUGUCGGGUAAGUUCCGACCCGCACGAAAGGCGCAACGAUCUGGGCACUGUCUCAACGAGAGACUCGGUGAAAUUAUAGUACCUGUGAAGAUGCAGGUUACCCGCGACAGGACGGAAAGACCCCGUGGAGCUUUACUGCAACCUGAUAUGGAAUGUUUGUACCGCUUGUACAGGAUAGGUAGGAGCCGAAGAGACGUGUGCGCUAGCAUACGAGGAGGCAAUGGUGGGAUACUACCCUGGCUGUAUGACCAUUCUAACCCGCCACGCUUAGCGCGUGGGGAGACAGUGUCAGGUGGGCAGUUUGACUGGGGCGGUCGCCUCCUAAAGAGUAACGGAGGCGCCCAAAGGUUCCCUCAGAAUGGAUGGAAAUCAUUCGCAGAGUGUAAAGGCACAAGGGAGCUUGACUGCGAGACUGACAAGUCGAGCAGGGACGAAAGUCGGGCUUAGUGAUCCGGUGGUUCCGCAUGGAAGGGCCAUCGCUCAACGGAUAAAAGCUACCCCGGGGAUAACAGGCUUAUCUCCCCCAAGAGUCCACAUCGACGGGGAGGUUUGGCACCUCGAUGUCGGCUCGUCGCAUCCUGGGGCUGUAGUCGGUCCCAAGGGUUGGGCUGUUCGCCCAUUAAAGCGGCACGCGAGCUGGGUUCAGAACGUCGUGAGACAGUUC